GCUGCAGGGCACUAAUCCUCUGUAAUUGGAUCGGCACACUGCUCCAUCUUUUCCUCUGUUCUUCGCUCAGCUGUUACAGUCCAACUCUCCCAUCUCUCAGGCAGUUGUCAGAGGCAACACUGUGGAGACCAAGCAGGAGGCAGAGUGGACCGUCAUCAGAGAGACAGCCGCCCCACCACAGGAAGAGCACCCCUCCAAACAGGAAGCACUGGAAAGGUACAGAAAGUCCUGCUCCGAGUUUCAAUCUCAGCUUCAGAAGAACAAGCAACAUUUGGAGGAGUUUAUUUCGGACCCAGUCACCGUCUCCACCUUGCAGAACCACAAGAAGCAACUACAGGCAAGUUUAAACGUCAUUUCAACACUUAACAUCCAUCUUCAGAUAUGUUUUGAUCCAUGUUUGGAAAUGGUGCUCUCAGUGCAGAAUGAGCUUGGUGUCACUUGCAUUUGCAUUUCUACAACCUAAAACAAAAUAGCUGUGAAGAGAUAUUUGUUCACAAGGUCAAACUUCACCAGUGUUGUGGGUAACGCGUUACAAAGUAACGCGUUAGAGUACUCUAAUUACUUUUUCCGUGUAACAUGUAACGUAACGCGUUAGUUUCGUGCGUGAAGCAAUCAGUAACUUCGUUAUUUUUUUAAAAAAGUAAUCCGUUAUUUUAAGAAUUUCUCCGGAUAAGGAAAGGGAAAAUCCCGAGUGUUUUCGAGCCCCCGGCAAGAUGGCAGAGAGGACAGCUUUUGCAUCGUGGAAGUACGCACAUUAUUUUCAAUUCGCCAGCGAAAAGGACAAGAACAACAUAACGGUAAAAUGCACACUCUGCGUUGGUGAAAAGCUUCUGUCGACCUCAAAAAAUCAUGACUUCUCGGUGCAUUUAAAGGAGGCUGUGUGUGUGUCAGUUAAGUUGAAGCAUGUGCGAGGCGCUGCAAACGGCUUUUAAUUUUUGGUAACGCAUGAGUACUCUAAUGCGUUACUUUUAUUCAUAGGUAACGCUGUAACGUAACUGAUUACUUUUAAUUGAUGGUAGCGUUGUAACCUAAUUAACUACUUUCCAAAGUAACUAUACCCAACACUGAACUUCACAAUAUCAAAUAAAUGCUGUGAUUCUGUGUGAACAGAUUUUAAAACAGGCAACAGAGGCGCUGCGGUUUGAGUUUGAGCUCACGUACGCCCAGCUGUCCCAGUGCUCCCAUCUAAUGACCACGGAAGAUAAGAGCGAAGUGGAAAUAAUCUGGGAGCAGCUGACUCAGCAGUGGAGAGGCCAACAGAUGUGCCUACAGAGCAGGUACAGUACAUCUUUCAGAUCAAUCAUUUAGUAUUGACUCAACAAACAAAAGCACAUUUGUUCCUUGUUGUUCA
rnacentral:lncRNA from 1 species